AACGAACGCUGGCGGCAGGCUUAACACAUGCAAGUCGAGCGCCCCGCAAGGGGAGCGGCAGACGGGUGAGUAACGCGUGGGAAUCUACCCAUCUCUACGGAAUAACGCAUGGAAACGUGUGCUAAUACCGUAUACGUCCUUCGGGAGACAGAUUUAUCGGAGAUGGAUGAGACGCGCGUUGGAUUAGCUAGUUGGUGGGGUAAAGGCCUACCAAGGCGACGAUCCAUAGGUGGUCUGAGAGGAUGAUCAGCCACACCGGGACUGAGACACGGCCCAGAUUGCUACGUGAUGCAGCGGUGGGGCAUAUUGGACAAUGGGCGCAAGCCUGAUUCCGCCAUGCCGCGUGAGUUAGGAAGGCCCUAGGGUUGUAAAGCUCUUUCACCGUUGAAGAUAAUGACGGUAACCGGAGAAGAAGCCCCGGCUAACUUCGUGCCAGCCGCCGCCGUAACAC
rnacentral:rRNA from 1 species